rnacentral:lncRNA from 1 species
AUUCCUUGAAAUUUGCACGGUGCCUCUAUUAUCGAUUCUUUGAGUGAUAGCGGAUAUUUAUGCUAACUGGUCCACAAACAGGUACAAAACCACAGCAAAUAUGGCUGCAUAUAUUUACAUCAUCCAAUUCAGAGCAAGUACAUAGCACAUGUAAAUUAACAUCAACCGAUGUCAUGACGUUAAAAUGUUUUUUGGGUAUACUGAAGACCCUUUUUGUCACUGCUUCAGUCUACAUAAAUAAAGUGUUGUUGAAAGCAAAGAGAUGUCAGACUUAUUUAUGACAAAAGGUCAGUUAGCAUGGCCAACAUACCUUGUCCCACACCUGACUGCACCACGAGUUGGCCUGCAAACACUCUGGUGGUGGUACUGACCCACCUCAUUGAUCUUCAUAGCGCCACUACUCAUCGGACAGCCAUGCAACCAGUUGCCCCCGUGAAAGUCUCACCUGAGAAAAUCUGCCACCCCAUGAAAGUCUCACCUGAGAAGGUCUGCCACCGUCAUCUCUGCAGCUGGAACUAGCAAGGAAUGGGCUUACUUUAGAGAUGGUCAGACUGCAAACAAGCCAUUCGUCUUACAGGUACACUGAAGACCCUUUUUGUCAUUGCUUC